UACGUAGGGGGCAAGCGUUGUCCGGAAUCAUUGGGCGUAAAGCGCGUGUAGGCGGUUCAGUAAGUCUGCUGUGAAAGUCCAGGGCUCAACCCUGGGAUGCCGGUGGAUACUGCUGGACUAGAGUGCGGAAGAGGCGAGUGGAAUUCCCGGUGUAGUGGUGAAAUGCGUAGAUAUCGGGAGGAACACCAGUGGCGAAGGCGGCUUCCUGGCCUGUUCUUGACGCUGAGGCGCGAAAAGCUAGGGGGAGCAAAACGGG
rnacentral:rRNA from 1 species